GACGAACGCUGGCGGCGUGCUUAACACAUGCAAGUCGAACGAAGUGGCGAACGGGUGAGUAACGCGGAAUCAACCUGCCCUUCAGAGGGGGACAACAGUUGGAAACGACUGCUAAUACCGCAUACUGAAGGAGGGUAUUGCGUCUGAUUAGCUGGUUGGAGGGGUAGCGGCCCACCAAGGCGAUGAUCAGUAGCCGGUCUGGGAGGAUGAACGGCCACAUUGGGACUGGGACACGUCCCUGACUCCUACGUGAGGCAGACGUGGGGAAUCUUCCGCAAUUGAGGAAAGUCUGACGGAGCAACGCCGCGUGAGUGAUGACGGCCUUCGGGUUGUAAAGCUCUGUUACUCGUGGCGCGGUACCGGAAUAGAAAGCCACGGCUAACUACGUGCCAGCCGCCGCGGUAAUUC
rnacentral:rRNA from 1 species